GAUGACAAGUCAUGAAGUGACAACUUCAAAGUAUAUUAUAAAUCCAUCAAGUUGUAUCUUCGGUGUCAAAUCGGUUUCGAUGAUUUUGUACACGAGUGAUAUUCCUAAAGGCAAAUUUGUCCAAGUAAACGAAUCCUGCGAUCUCUUCGAUUCCUCGAAACCAGUUUUUUUAUGGCUCAUGGCUUUCUUUUAAAUUCAACCAA